rnacentral:pre_miRNA from 1 species
GGGGCGAGGCCGGAUCCUGGGCUGUGUCCCGGCGCCCUGUGCUCCUGGUCUACGCUGUUGGAUUCGCGCUCCCGCCCCGCAGCCCCCU